rnacentral:rRNA from 1 species
GACGAACGCUGGCGGCGUGCUUAACACAUGCCAGUCGAACGGAAAGGCCCUGCUUUUGUGGGGUGCUCGAGCGGCGAACGGGUGAGUAACACGUGAGUAACCUGCCCUUGACUUUGGGAUAACUUCAGGAAACUGGGGCUAAUACCGGAUAGGAGCUCCUGCUGCAUGGUGGGGGUUGGAAAGUUUCGGCGGUUGGGGAUGGACUCGCGGCUUAUCAGCUUGUUGGUGGGGUAGUGGCUUACCAAGGCUUUGACGGGUAGCCGGCCUGAGAGGGUGACCGGCCACAUUGGGACUGAGAUACGGCCCAGACUCCUACGGGAGGCAGCAGUGGGGAAUAUUGCACAAUGGGCGGAAGCCUGAUGCAGCAACGCCGCGUGCGGGAUGACGGCCUUCGGGUUGUAAACCGCUUUCGCCUGUGACGAAGCGUGAGUGACGGUAAUGGGUAAAGAAGCACCGGCUAACUACGUG